ACCCUUUAAUGGCUGGUGUUCUAACGUAGACCCGUAAUCCGGGUUGCGGACAGUGUCUGGUGGGUAGUUUGACUGGGGCGGUCUCCUCCCAAAGAGUAACGGAGGAGCACGAAGGUUAGCUAAUCCUGGUCGGACAUCAGGAGGUUAGUGCAAUGGCAUAAGCUAGCUUGACUGCGAGAGUGACGGCUCGAGCAGGUGCGAAAGCAGGUCAUAGUGAUCCGGUGGUUCUGAAUGGAAGGGCCAUCGCUCAACGGAUAAAAGGUACUCCGGGGAUAACAGGCUGAUACCGCCCAAGAGUUCAUAUCGACGGCGGUGUUUGGCACCUCGAUGUCGGCUCAUCACAUCCUGGGGCUGAAGUAGGUCCCAAGGGUAUGGCUGUUCGCCAUUUAAAGUGGUACGCGAGCUGGGUUUAGAACGUCGUGAGACAGUUCGGUCCCUAUCUGCCGUGGGCGCUGGAGAAUUGAGGGGGGCUGCUCCUAGUACGAGAGGACCGGAGUGGACGCAUCACUGGUGUUCGGGUUGUCAUGCCAAUGGCACUGCCCGGUAGCUAAAUGCGGAAAAGAUAAGUGCUGAAAGCAUCUAAGCACGAAACUUGCCCCGAGAUGAGUUCUCCCUGAGACUUUAAGUCUCCUGAAGGAACGUUGAAGACGACGACGUUGAUAGGUCGGGUGUGUAAGCGCAGCGAUGCGUUGAGCUAACCGAUACUAAUGAACCGUGAGGCUUAAC
rnacentral:rRNA from 1 species